rnacentral:lncRNA from 1 species
AAAAAUAAAAAUGUUAAUUACUUUUUUUUAAUAACUGCCACUAAAGACCCAACAGAAAUCAGGAAAAAAGUUGGGAAUAACUACCCCAAUUAGGACAUCCCUUAAAAGAGGACAUAAGGAAGGGGGAAAGGAGUAAAUGAUUCUACAAAUUUAAACCAAUGUCUACAUCAUGAUCAUUAUUGGUUAAUGCAUCAAAACUUCUAAUAGCUUCCUAAUUUAUGCUAUGGAAAUUUAUAUGGGAAGCACCUUGCAUAUGAGAUCAUAUAACCCACACAACACAAGAUCAAGGCAAGGAUGAGAUGGGUCCAAGCCACUUUAGAGUCCAUCUCCACCAAGAUCCUUGAUUACUCAAUAGGUAGCACCAUACAUAAUCCCCACAUCACACCCCGCAAAGUUCAUCUUGGAGUACUGCUGAAUAGAUGCCAUGUUGCAAAUAAAACCUUUUAGAUUUUUCCCAGUGUCAUCAUCUCUUAACAAAUUUCCACAAGCUACCCAUGAGAAGGAAAACACCUACCCAUCAGCAUCUGGAAUAACACUAAGUAUAUUUUUUCUGUUUUGAGACGACCAGUAUGUCGGUCAAUGAAUAUUGAUGAGUAUGAGAGCUUUUGGAAAUUUAACUUGGUAGAUCCGUGUAAAGAGAGAGUAAAGAGAAGACACAGUCAACUUC